CAAACUUCAUUUAGAAGCUCAUUUAAAUACAGGAUCAGUUCAUUUGCAUAUUGCUCAGAUGCUUCAGUGCUCUGAGAGUGUUUAUAGUGCUGUGAGUUUAACACUUCAUCACUGACACACACAACAAUCUUCAUCAACAUGACCUUCAUCAUCAUCUUCAUCUGGACUCUCACAGCGUUUGCUCAAGAGAGUAGAGGACAGAUCAGCGUCACUCAGAGUCCCUCAACAGCAGCUCAACCAGGAGAAACAGUGAAGAUCAGCUGCAAAACCAGCAAGGAUGUGAACAGGGAUAAAGAUGGAGAUGAUUAUAUAUUCUGGUACUCACAGAAACCUGGAGAAGCUCCUAAACUCCUGAUUUAUUAUGCAAAAAAGCUUCAGUCAGGAACUCCAUCUAGAUUCAGUGGCAGUGGAUCUAACAGUGAUUUCACUCUGACCAUCAGUGGAGUCCUGACUGAAGAUGCUGGACAUUAUUACUGUAAGAAUUUACACUGCAGAACAGAUUCUAGUGGUUAUUGUGCGGGUGAUGUUGUGUUCACACAGUGAUAAAGUGUCGUACAAAAACCUGUGUCAGUCAGAGUCACAGUGACUGAACUGAUGCUGCAGCUGCUCAAAGGAGGAUCUGAAACUCUGUUGUUUUUGCUCUUUCUCCUCAUAUUCUGACUCUCUGUAGGGAGAAGAGAAAUGCUGGAAACUGGACUGAUUGAAUCUGCACAGCUUCGAGGUUUUGAUUUGAUUCAUUGUGCUCUUAUAGAUCCGUCACAUGAUGGAGAUUGAAGCUCAACAUCUGUCUCACAAACACAUGCAGCUGUUUUCAGUCACAGAUACAGCUGCUAUAAUGAAUGAUGAAUGACAAAACUCUAGGAUACUUAAAUUCAGCACAGAAACUCACAGUUCAACAACAUAUUUAAUUUGAUGAAUGAUAUGUAAACCUUGUUUCACAGCUCUUCAAACUCUCUCUUUCAGGUCGGUUCAGCAAAUACUUCACAUAAAGAUCAGACAGUGUCUCUGCUGAUUUAUGAUCCUAAAACCCUCAUAUUGUGUGUCAGAGUUUCUCCAUCGACUGUAAAACCAGCGAUCGAGCUUAGUUACUGUACACGACUGUUGAAACGAUUGAGAUCACCCAUACACAAAUGUAAUAUAUGCAAGUACCGUAUUUUUCGGACUAUAAGCUGCACCUGAGUAUAAGUCGCAUCAGUCCAAAAAUAC